GUGAACUACAUCUGUUUUGGCACGACAAAUAAGUUAGUUACUUGUAGAACCAGCCUAAAAAUGUACUAUUAGAUGUCAAGUGAGAGUUGGUUUGUGACAGCCGCUGCGCCGCUCACUGUCACCGGGAAGGGGGCGGGAUGGACCAAAGGGAGGAGUGACUUUUCAAAAAUAGUACGCUUCAGCACAGCAGCGAACCGGUACAGCCGCGGCGGCGGGCGGGUACGGAGAGUUCGAAACAUGGUUCGUUACGGAAAUAAAUAACUGGACCGGGAGACGAUAUUAUUUAAACCAAAGAGGAGGCUUCAAAACACGACGAAAAGUAGAAGCGGGUAUUUCCAGGUAGAAGAAAACUGGGUUGCAGCUAGCUGAAGUCAGUGCCACACGUUUCAGUGUUGAUGUUGGUAUUUGGCCACGAAUAACGUUAACGUUACCUGCCGAAAAUAGUCACGACGUCCUAUAUUGAGGCUCCUCUGUCCUGUGUGACCCCCUGACACAGAGAGGAUGGUGAUGGAGGAGGGGGGGCAGAGAGACAGAGGGAGGGGGACUCCAGCGACACCAGGAGCAGAGGGGAGACAGAUCUUUGUGGAGAUGGGGGAGCAGAACUUCGAUGGUAUUUGUCUCUCUACAUAUCGAACAGCCUGCAAGCUCAGAUUCAUACAGAAGAGAUGCAACUUACAUCUGAUCGACAUAUACAACGUGAUUGAGGCGGUGCGGGACGCUGGUCUGAACGCCGUAGAGCUGAACGCCGGCAUCUCUGUGACCAGACUGGAGAACCUGGUGUCCUCCCUGUUCAACCAGCUCAGCAAGCGCCUGCCCACAACACACACCAUCAACCCGCGAGAGAGUACCGUCCUAUUAGUCGAAUUCUUACUCGCUGCCAUUGACAGUGAGCCAAAUAGCCGUCUGACGGUGCUGUCUGUGAAGGCAAUGCUGGCCACACUGUGUGGAGGGAAACUGGUAGAUAAACUCCGCUAUGUGUUUUCUCAGGUAUCUGACUCCAGUGGCGUGUUGGUACAGUCCAAGUUUGAUGGUUUUCUGAGGGAGGCUCUCAGGCUGCCCACCGCUGUACAUGAAGGGCCGUCCUUUGGCUACACACACACCUUAGCACGCUCAUGCUUCCCACAACAGAAGAGGGUGAUGCUCAACAUGUUCCUGGACAUCGUAGUUGACCCUCCUCAGUGUCUUGUAUGGCUGCCUCUCAUGCACCGCCUGGCCAAUGUGGAACAUGUUUAUCAUCCUGUGUCAUGCUCCUUCUGUCGUGGAAACGGUAUGACAGGCUUCCGCUAUCGCUGCCUCCGUUGCCGUGGAUACCAGCUCUGCCAAAACUGCUUCUGGCGCGGCAACGCCAGCGGCUCUCAUAGCAACCAGCAUCAGAUGAAGGAGCACUCGUCCUGGAAGUCACCGGCGACAAAGCUUGGCCGAGCCCUGAGCAGGACUUUGGGCUGUGUGUCGUCCAGAGAGCCCCCUCAUCCAAUUUACCCAGAGGAACCUGAGAGGACCCUAAACCUCGCCAACAUAGUCCCAUCUCGCCCUGUUAGGAACACCAGUGAGGCCAUGUUGCUGUCCUCAUCAGUGCCCGAGUCCUCCAAGAGUUUGGCAGCCGCUCAGCGCAUGAACGAGGAACACGCUCUAAUCGCUGCGUAUGUGAAUCGCCUCCAGAGCAGCCCAUGUAGUGUGGACAGUCCCAGCAGACAAGAUGAGGAGCACAAACUGAUCGCCCGCUACACCUCCCGACUGGCAGAGACUGACGGUGCAGGAAUGAUACCUAACCGAAGCAUCAACUUUGAUGUGAACAAACAGAAGAGGGAGCUCAUUGCUCAGCUGGAGUGCAAAAACAGAGAGAUCUUGGCAGAGAUCAGACGUCUCCGUGUAGAGCAUGACGCAGCGUGCCAGGCCAGCCCGGAGAAAGGCAGCACCAACCCAACUCUUCUGGCUGAGCUUCGUCUGCUCAGACAAAGGAAAGAUGAGCUGGAGCAGAGGAUGUCGUCUCUGCAAGAGAGCAGGAGGGAACUGAUGGUACAGCUGGAGGGACUGAUGAAGCUGCUGAAGGCGCAGGCGGCUGGCUCUUCUCAAGCCUCUCCUUCUCGACCAAGUCCAUCAACCGUCCGCGGUGUGGGUGCUGCAUCUCCCCAGGGUCACAUGUACCCUCAUCAAGAUUCACUCGCUGGGGUGGGUGGUGACGUACAAGAAGCAUUCGCCCAAGGCCCGAGAAGGAACCUGAGGAACGACCUUCUGGUAGCAGCUGACUCCAUCACCAACACUGUGUCCUCACUGGUCAAAGAGCUCCACUCUGAUGAUGCUCGGGAGGAAGAGGAGAGAUUGCUCAACGGGAAGGACAGAGCGACGUCAUGUAAAUCCCAGCAGAGCUUUACACAACUCCAACCUGAGUCGGACUGAUCAGCGACAUAACUGAAAACACCUGUGUGGGUGCUCUCGUCUGUACUGCAGCAAGCUUCAUUACCGUACCAUCUCAUUAGAAAUGCUUUAUGGAGCCUCUCUUUACAAGAGGACCGCCUGCAGAGACAAAGUGGUGAAACUACUUCCUGGUCUGCUCCGCUGGCUCAGACUAAAAAGUUUUUAGAAAACUAACCUGCAGUACUAACCCACCGACCCUGAACACCCAGACAGACAGGAGGCCAGGGUUCAGCCCCAUGUUCAACAGACAGGUUAAAAAUGGUCGCAGGACAAACAAAAACAGCAGAGUGGUGUUUCAUCACGGCCAAAGAAGACUGACCCGUCUUCUAUAUUCACCGUUAGCCAAUGGGGAUUAGAACUCCACUGCUAAUCAACCAAUCACAAUGCUGGACACCAAAUGGCCGCUGGGUUCCUACUGAUGUAUAGCUGUGAUUCUGUGUGUGUCUUGUCACUGUGGUUUUACUUAAGUUCUGAUCGUGCAUAGCUAAACGAGGAAUCUGAAACCUACUGAUUUGUACUGUAGCGCUGGCGUGUGUGUGUGUGUGUGUGUGUGUGUGUGUGUGUGUGUGCUCUGCAUUGUCAAGGUGCGAGAGGGUCGAGUAAGUGAGAGGGACACGAAAGAUAGAAAAGAGACGAAAAAAGAUGGGUUUAGCAAAUUUGUAUAGGAUUAAAGUUUAAGGAUGGAGAUACAGGUUGUAUGGAGGAGAAAAGUGGAUGAAAAACGAAAUGAAAAGAAAGUUAAACAGAUGAGAAGUGAGAUGUAACGUUAUAAGUUUCGGCACUGUGUGCUUCGUAUUUAUUGCUUUUGAUUUUUGCCAUUUAUUCAUUCAGUUUGAGUGUUUCUGUGUAUGUGCAUGAGGGUGGUCAGGCCCUGCUGAGAUGCUGAGCUUUAAUGGAUGUUUCCUUCUGUAUCAAGCCCUGACUGCCCCCUGUUGUAGUGAUGCAGGGUGGAAAGUUAAAGCCUCGUCCUGCUCCAGGUGUCUGAAACCUGGAUGAGAUUAGUGUGAUGGGUGCUGGUGUGAUAGCAGCUCAGGUUGUCCAGGAAUAUAUGUGUAUAUCUGUACUGCAGUGAGACUCCAGUCAAAGAGGGAGAUACCUGAUUAAUGUUGUGAAUAUGUGUUCGUGUUUGUGUGACAGAGAGAGAGAAUAUAAAGUGUCAGUGUAGUAACAGAGCAGCAAAGUGGGCUCUAAAAGUAUUUAUCCCCAACAAUGUUCUUUUAAAGAGUCAGUUUACCCAAAAUACAAUUUAUUUUUUUUUUAUAGCUUAGUAUCCCAUGAUAAAGCUGAGGGUUCACAAGUUUAUUGAAGUAAUAACGAAGGAAAAUCAUUCUUUUAUUGUGAAUUUAUUUUCUUACUCUCACCUCUUCAGGACUCAAAAAUCCUGAAGAGGUGUUCACAUAAAUUUUUUGUGUAACAAAUAAUUUAUUGCAUUUCGAUAGAAGAACACACUUUUAGCUCCAGUAAACAUAUUUGAAGUGCUUCAUUUUUAAAUGUCACAUCUCAGAAAGCUGUGGUGGUGUCAAGUAGAGCUAAAAGAUUUGGAAAAAAUAUCUAAUUGCCAUUAUUUUUGACUGGUUGAUCAUUGUAAGAUCAUUGUUCUCAUUUUCAUUGAAAAACAUAAUAAAAUUAAUUAUAAAGAUGUUUUCUUAAGUUAGUAGAAAGCCAGGACUUCUCUGCAGCAUGAUGAUAUUUAAUUUGAAAAAAAUGGUAUUGUGACACACAUUUACCCUUUAACAAAUACUGCCUCCUGCGAUUUGAAAAUUGCAGUAGGCCAUAUUGUGAUUAUGAUAAAAUUUUAAUUAACUGUUCAGCCCUAGUAUCAAGCCAUGCAGAUAGUUUAGGCUUGAUUUUUCCAUGUUUGGAGAUAUUUUCCUCCACCCUUGUACAAUAUAGCAAUAAAUCAUAACAGAAACAUGACAUUUAUAAUAAUAAAUAAAUAAAACACAGUGAACACUUCAGGCUGGAACUUCUUUUUUGAAGACGUACUGUAGUGUUUAAGAAAUCUGUUCCUUUUUUGAUAACCUCGGUGUACUUCAACGGUAAUUUAACAACAUAAAUUAUGGUAGGCUGUUAAAGAGUAAGUUAUCGAUCUUGCAAGUGGAAUGUCUCUUAUUACUACAUUACCCAUGAGCCUCUGCAUCUAGUGCUAUGGAGGGGAUUCAACCAGUUUAAUGUUCCAACUGCCAAAAAUUAAUGGGCUUUUACUUUCUAAACACUGCCUGCCUAAAAUAACCCCUCUCACUUUGCUACUCUUUGAUGUCUUUCAAGCUUCCUGUAAAAUACAGGGGAUUAUGGGAGUUUGAGUUCUCUGUGUCACACCCAGCACCCAAAAAUGUAUCAGACUGAUAAUAUCUGUAUGCAAAUCACACACGACCCAAAGUGACUAACUGUAUCAGGUCAGGUUGAUUUAUUUUUACAGAUGUAAGAUAAUUUUAUUAAAAACAUGUUUUUCAACAGCAUUUCAGGGUUUUGGUGUUCACAGGAAUCUGUACUUAACUGUAUUGUACAUUUUUGGAUCACUUUUCAGUUGAACAGUUUGUCUUUUCUUUCAGACUUUGCCAGCCCUCCACAUUGUUUGACUGACAGCUUGCGACUGGUAUUCUCAGUCCGCUGAAUGAUUGGACUGACUGUAUGACUGAUUUAAUAAAUGAAUGAGCGCAUGUUUCAGUGUGUGUGUGGAAGAGAGAGUGAAAAGACUGACAGGACAAACGCGUCCUGACAUGAAACUGUAAACACCAUCAGCUCUAAAACUGCUGGAGCUGACAAUGUGAGUGAAAACUAUUGAUCUGUGUUUCAUCUGCAAUAAAUAAUAUUUAACGUCAA